CCUACGUGAGGCAGCAGUAGGGAAUCUUCCACAAUGGGCGAAAGCCUGAUGGAGCAACGCCGCGUGGGUGAAGAAGGUCUUCGGAUCGUAAAACCCUGUUGUUAGAGAAGAAAGUGCGUGAGAGUAACUGUUCACGUUUCGACGGUAUCUAACCAGAAAGCCACGGCUAACUACGUGCCAGCAGCCGCGGUAAUCCGUAGGUGGCAAGCGUUAUCCGGAUUUAUUGGGCGUAAAGGGAACGCAGGCGGUCUUUUAAGUCUGAUGUGAAAGCCUUCGGCUUAACCGGAGUAGUGCAUUGGAAACUGGGAGACUUGAGUGCAGAAGAGGAGAGUGGCACUCCAUGUGUAGCGGUGAAAUGCGUAGAUAUAUGGAAGAACACCAGUGGCGAAAGCGGCUCUCUGGUCUGUAACUGACGCUGAGGUUCGAAAGCGUGGGUAGCAAACAGGAUUAGAUACCCUAGUAGUC
rnacentral:rRNA from 1 species